rnacentral:rRNA from 1 species
GACGAACGCUGGCGGCGUGCUUAACACAUGCGAGUCGAACGGAAAGGCCCUGCUUUUGUGGGGUGCUCGAGUGGCGAACGGGUGAGUAACACGUGAGUAACCUGCCCUUGACUUUGGGAUAACUUCAGGAAACUGGGGCUAAUACCGGAUAGGAGCUCCUGCUGCAUGGUGGGGGUUGGAAAGUUUCGGCGGUUGGGGAUGGACUCGCGGCUUAUCAGCUUGUUGGUGGGGUAGUGGCUUACCAAGGCUUUGACGGGUAGCCGGCCUGAGAGGGUGACCGGCCACAUUGGGACUGGGGUACGGCCCAGACUCCUACGGGGGGCAGCAGGUGGGAAUAUUGCACAAUGGGCGGAAGCCUGAUGCAGCAACGCCGCGUGCGGGAUGACGGCCUUCGGGGUGGAAACCGCUUUCGCCUGUGACGAAGCGUGAGUGACGGUAAUGGGUAAAGAAGCACCGGCUAACUACGUG